rnacentral:rRNA from 1 species
CACGUAGGGCGCGAGCGUUGUCCGGAAUUAUUGGGCGUAAAAAGCUCGUAGGCGGCCUGUUGCGUCCGCUGUGAAAGCCCGGGGCUUAACCCCGGGUCGGCAGUGGAUACGGGCAGGCUAGAGGUAGGUAGGGGAGAAUGGAAUUCCCGGUGUAGCGGUGAAAUGCGCAGAUAUCGGGAGGAACACCGGUGGCGAAGGCGGUUCUCUGGGCCUUACCUGACGCUGAGGAGCG